CUUACCCUUUCUUUUGUUUCUUCAGUUUUCUCUACUUCUACUUGAAAAAAAUAUUUGUUUCCAUCUCAGUUUUCUUUCUAUGUUUUAGUUUCUGUUCCACGAAGCCUAACCUGUAGGCCUUAUUCUCACAGUGUCCGUCUGUUGUCUGCCAUGCAUGGAGCUGCCUAAAUUCUCUUUACCUGAUUCCAAAUACCCCCUAAUUCUUCCAUCAGUGGCGCUCCUGGGUGAUAAAGUAUGGUAUGGUGUAAUGACUAUAAUGACAAUGGGCUAUUGUUCGCUGUGUGCUUACUUUGGAGCCCAAGAUGAGCUAGGAGUGGGGAUUAAUUAGUCUUUUGGCGAACCGCAGUACCAAGUAAGCAGUACCAAGUAAGCGCAUGAAGUCUGUCAGUGGUGGAUUGGUUUGACAGGUGCCCAGUGCUGUGCAGCCUUUGUUUUUUCCCCACAUAUGACAGAUUUCAGAUGGGAACAAAUUAAUGUCUUUUUUGUUUCCACUGGAAUUGUACAGAGCGGUUUUUCCAAAAUGUUUAUGAUCUUUCAAUAUGCCUCUAUCCGCAACCCCCCUCUCAUUAAGUCAGAGGCCUCUGAAUGGUUCUGUAAUGGACUAUAAACAAAAGCUCUUUAUAGCUGUGAGUAAUAUGCAGAGCCGAGUUCUGUCAACGGUCUCAAAUGCAGUCAGGGAACAUAUUGAAGGCCGCCAAAUUAGACCCUCAUUUGAAAUAUGAAGGGAAAACCCAACUGUCCGGAACUGUCUAGAAUAACUGGACACUGACAAGGAAUGAGGUGGUGACACACAUACGAUACUUACGAGUCUGCCGUCCAAGUUGUUGGCAAAUCAAUUAGCUAUGAAACCCUAAGUUAAAUCAGUCGGAUCUUUGGUCUUUGCCAGACUCUCCAAACACUUUCCAGCUGGACAGAUGAAGCCCAGGGAAGACAAAGCUGGAGCUUCCUCCAUCUCAGCAGAUCUUGGCCCUUUGAAAUCCCCGCAGGCCAUUAGUAAUUCCAGAGACCGAAGAUGGGAUGUGAAGCAGUCCAUGGAGUGACCCAAAUCAAAGCAGUACAAAGAUAUCUCUGUGGACUGGGCCCCUUUUUGCAUACGAGGAGACGUGAUCUACCACGCAUCUCUCGCUCUGGACAUUGGGCCCGACUGAAUCAUCCUUUGAGUUUGAAGGAGAUCUUGUUACUGAGAAUGAAGAAGACCAAAGAGUGUGAUGAAACCGUAUCAGUCAGCAAAUGGGAAAACACUGUCUGUUUCCAGCCUUAAAAUUCAAUGGUUUAUUAAGAACAAUUAUCAUUCUGGGAGCCUAUCAAAUUGUAAUCAAGCAUAAAAGUAAUACUAACCAAGGAAGAAUAAAAUGUGAUAAUAAAAAUGUGAGAAGAUUCUCCCAUUCACUUUGUUGUGAUAAUUACUUUCCUUCCCAAUAAGUCUAAAUCCUGACACCUUACAUUUGGCUAGGAUGCAUCCAGAUGGAUUUAAAGGGGGGAAAACAAAUGACCAGCACAAGUUCAUUUCAGUUUCAUAAUUUAAGUGUGGAAGCUUCAUCAGUGGUAUCCACUGCAGAAACUGAAGAAUGAUCCACCUCUUCAAAAUGACGGUGUUCUUUGUAUAAGUUUAAAGUUUAAUUGCAUUUAAAUGACUUGUAUCUCACCAAAUAUGAGCUUUUUCAGAGUGGAUUUAUAAUGAAAUUGUCCAAGGACAGAGGCCAGGAUUAAUUUUAAAUUAGUGCUGCACGAACAGAAUAUACCAUUUGUCCAAUUGAUUAUUGCUUUGAUUAGUUAGAUAAUUAGCAAAUGAAACUUUUUGAACCAUAAUUUUAGUAUUAAGCAGAGCUGAAAUAAUAGUGCAAUGUCUGUUUUCAGUGCAAUGAGCUCGGUAGAUCAAUACUUUUUUAUAUUUAAACCUUUGUGUAUUUCUUGUAUACAGUGCUCAGCGAUAUUUAUAUUGAAUUUGCAGAAUCCACGAAUGUUAUAUUUCAUAUCUGAAAAUAAUUUUUUGUGAUAUCUUCAUUUCUUCAC